CCUACGGGAGGCAGCAGUGGGGAAUCUUGCACAAUGGGCGAAAGCCUGAUGCAGCAAUGCCGCGUGAGUGAAGAAGUUUUUCGGAAUGUAAAGCUCUGUUAUAUGGGAUGAAAGACUAGAGAAGGAAAUGACUUUAGAGUGACGGUACCAUAUGAGAAAGGGACGGCUAACUACGUGCCAGCAGCCGCGGUAAU
rnacentral:rRNA from 1 species